AUGUUCUGGCACAAGGAGCCAGACAUCAAAUACUACAUGUGCACAAUCAAUAAAACAUUUGCUAAGCCAGGCCACGACAUGAUACAAUAUACCAAAGACAACCUACUGGACUACAUUGAUCCGAACAAUGACACACUCAUGAUCAGACUUGCAGAUGCCCGUCUACACAUCGAAUGUCGCAUUAUGCUAGGAACUGACAAGAGGGCCACUAUAACCACCAGCUGGUCUGAGUUUUGUCGUUGUGCCAACAUUCGCGAAGGAGACAUAUGUGCUUUUCAUUUUAGGGUCACUUCAAAGCGCCGCGUGUUCUUACCGUGCACUGCCUCUAGAUCCACCAUCGAAGACACCGCAGUUCCUGUGUGA
rnacentral:rRNA from 1 species